GCCCAUAGGUCUGGGAUAACCACGAGAAAUCGGGGCUAAUACCGGAUGUGUCAUCGGACCGCAUGGUCCGCUGAUGAAAGGCGCUCCGGCGUCGCCCAUGGAUGGCUUUGCGGUGCAUUAGCUAGUUGGUGGGGUAACGGCCCACCAAGGCGACGAUGCAUAGCCGACCUGAGAGGGUGAUCGGCCACACUGGGACUGAGACACGGCCCAAACUCCUACGGGAGGCAGCAGUAGGGAAUCUUCCACAAUGGACGAAAGUCUGAUGGAGCAACGCCGCGUGAACGAUGAAGGCUUUCGGGUCGUAAAGUUCUGUUGUAAGGGAAGAACAAGUGCCGCAGGCAAUGGCGGCACCUUGACGGUACCUUGCGAGAAAGCCACGGCUAACUACGUGCCAGCAGCCGCGGUAAUACGUAGUGGCAAGCGUUGUCCGGAAUUAUUGGGCGUAAAGCGCGCGCAGCGGCCUCUUAAGUCUGAUGUGAAAGCCCCCGGCUCAACCGGGGAC
rnacentral:rRNA from 1 species